rnacentral:lncRNA from 1 species
CGCCCAAGGCAUCCGACAACAGUAGACUCAUCGUAACCUCGAAAACAUCUGAGCUUCUCCUGGAUUGCUGAGACAGAGAGCUAUUCUGCUCCAUCAGACAUCCCAAUCGAGCUUCAGCCGUCAGGUCCAAACUCUCUGGCAAGUCAUGACAAUGGCCACUACCUUACUCCACUCCGUAUAACAGAUUCCAUGCGGCCCCAC